AUUAGAAACCACGCGGCCCUCGUCUGAUCUCACAGCUCGUCCUUGUUUGGCCUCAGCUGCAUCAGAGCGCCACUUCUCCCCAGGUUCACCAGAGGAAACACCACUGCACACAAUGCUUUUCCUCCCAGCUGCUGCUCUGUGCUGUCUGUGUUCAGCGCUGGUUGCCAUGGCAGCAGAGCUGAUUCAGGAUUUAACAUUGACCAGGAGAGUCGAUGAAACUGUUUCCUUCAGCUGUCGAGGAACUGACCAGUGUGACUAUGAUUAUGUAUUCUGGUACCAGAAGAAAGCUAAAGAAACAUUCACAAGGAUUCUAGAUAUUAACAGAAAUACUGGUAGCAUAGAUUCAGGUUACGAUCAUCCUCAGAAAGAUGAUUUCUCUGCUGUGAGAAAACAGAACGGCUGUGAGUUGCAGCUCAAGAAAGUUAAACCCUCUCAUUCAGCCACCUACUACUGCUCCUGUUAUAAGAGCGGCGCCCACAGUGAGAAAUGAUCCGUGCAGCCUGAACAAAAACCAGCAGAUGUCAAACAGUGUUUGUGACAGGAAGAGAGCAGUAAACCACAGCCCAGGUUCACAUAUUUCACCUCCAUCUCAGCCAGAGUCACAAACAUACUGAGCUGAGGGAUUUCUUUAAUAUUCUAUUGAUUUCUAUUUGAUCAGAUAUUCCAGCAGGUUUCUUGUUGUUCCACACAGUGAGGACAAACUAGCAGCACAGAAGCUCAAUGAUCAAACAAGAUA